AUCACAUCUCAGCCUUUUGGCUAAGAUCAAGUGUAGUAUCUGUUUUUGUCAGUUUAAUAAAAGUGUCCUCUGCUAAAAUAUCUUAUCCAUAUAAACUUAUUCUUCUAUUCUUUGCAUGCUCA
rnacentral:snRNA from 1 species